CGGAAGUAAAAACCUGGUGAAGCACGCGACUCCCACUCCGCUCCUGAAUAUUUCAGUAUUUAGAUUACCUGCAGCAGCAUUGCUGAAGAUUUGUCGGAGCACCUCGGACAGGAGUGUAACGGGGAAAAAAGCAGCUGUAUGGCACCCAUUCACUGCAGAGGAUCCAUUGGUGAAGAAGUGAUGUAAUGCUACAUUUCUCCUACAAAUCUGUUCUGAUGAUGAAAUAACUCAUCUACAUCUAGGAUCACCUGAGGAGUGCAGUAGCUUUGGGUUUCGAGCUGAAAGCAGGGGUUCUGCCGGUCUGCUUGUCUUGGCACAGAUGGAGUUUGUCUUGGAUUGAGGAGUCGACCAUCAGAAAAUCAACGAACCGUACUGCUAACUAUAAGUAAUGUUCAUUUCCAUAAUCACAC
ensembl:lncRNA